rnacentral:rRNA from 1 species
GUCUACAGCCAUGACACUCUGAACAUGCUGGAUCUCAUCUGAUCUUGGAAGCCAAGCAGGGGCGGGCCUGAUAAGUACUUGGAUGGGAGACCACCUAGGAAGACCAGGUGCUGCAAGCA